rnacentral:rRNA from 1 species
AGAGUUUGAUCCUGGCUCAGAUUGAACGCUGGCGGCAGGCCUAACACAUGCAAGUCGAACGGUAACAGGAAGCAGCUUGCUGCUUCGCUGACGAGUGGCGGACGGGUGAGUAAUGUCUGGGAAACUGCCCGAUGGAGGGGGAUAACUACUGGAAACGGUAGCUAAUACCGCAUAACGUCGCAAGACCAAAGAGGGGGACCUUCGGGCCUCUUGCCAUCGGAUGUGCCCAGAUGGGAUUAGCUAGUCGGUGAGGUAACGGCUCACCAAGGCGACGAUCCCUAGCUGGUCUGAGAGGAUGACCAGCCACACUGGAACUGAGACACGGUCCAGACUCCUACGGGAGGCAGCAGUGGGGAAUAUUGCACAAUGGGCGCAAGCCUGAUGCAGCCAUGCCGCGUGUAUGAAGAAGGCCUUCGGGUUGUAAAGUACUUUCAGCGGGGAGGAAGGGGAUGUGGUUAAUAACCGCAUCCAUUGACGUUACCCGCAGAAGAAGCACCGGCUAACUCCGUGCCAGCAGCCGCGGUAAUA